GAUGAACGCUGGCGGCGUGCCUAAUACAUGCAAGUCGAGCGAACGGACGAGAAGUUUGCUUCUCUGAUGUUAGCGGAGCACGGGUGAGAAACACGUGGAUAACCUACCUAUAAGACUGGGAUAACUUCGGGAAACCGGCGCUAAUCCCGGAUAAUCUUCUGAACCGUGUGGUUCGAAAGUGAAAGACGGUCUUGCUGUAACUACUCGAUGGAUCCGCGCUGCAUUAGCUAGUUGGUACGGUAACGGCUUACAAAGGCAACGAUGCAUAGACGACCUGAGAGAGGGAUCGGCCGCACGGGAACUGAGACACGGUCCAGACUCCUACGGUAGGCAGCAGUAGGGAAUCUGCCGCAAUGGUCGAAAGCCUGACGGAGCAACGCCGCGUGAGUGAUGGAGGUCUUCGGAGCGUAAAACUCUGUUAUUAGUGAAGAACAGAUGUGUAAGUAACUGUACACAGCUUGACGGUACCUAGUCAGAAAGCCACGGCUAACUACGUG
rnacentral:rRNA from 1 species